rnacentral:rRNA from 1 species
UCGAGAGGAUCGUUCCGCAAGGACAAGGAGCAAGGUGCUGCAUGGCUGUCGUCAGCUCGUGCCGUGAGGUGUUGGGUUAAGUCCCGCAACGAGCGCAACCCUUGUCUUCUGUUGCCAUCGGGUUAUGCCGGGCACUCUGAAGAGACUGCCGGUGACAAACCGGAGGAAGGUGGGGAUGACGUCAAGUCAGCAUGGCCUUUAUGUCUGGGGCUACACACGUGCUACAAUGGCAGAUACAAACCGUCGCGAGACCGCAAGGUGGAGCUAAUCGGAUAAAGUCUGUCUCAGUUCGGAUUGCAGGCUGCAACUCGCCUGCAUGAAGUUGGAAUCGCUAGUAAUCGCGGAUCAGCACGCCGCGGUGAAUACGUUCCCGGGCCUUGUACACACCGCCCGUCACGUCACGAAAGCUGGCUGUACUAGAAGUAGCUGAGCCAACCCGCAAGGGAGGCAGGUUCCUAAGGUAUGGUCAGUGAUUGGGGUGAAGUCGUAACAAGGUAGCCGU